GUUCUUAUUGGCCAUCUGCAUAUCUUAUUUGGAGAAAUGUCUGUUUAGAUCUUUUGCUCAUUUUGUAAUUGAGUUAUUUGUUAUCGUGUACAAUUUUGAAUGUAGGUAUUCAAAGAGUUUGUAGAUCCCUUGAAAUCACUCAGUGAUUUGACCUGCAAAUUCUGAGGCAAUGCCAGUAUCUCCCUGAUCUGAAUGUAGUUGGAUUUGAGCUGGGUGUGGUGGAAAUUAUAGACAUGAGCCACCAGGCCCAGCCAACAAUAAUUCCUUCAUAUCGAGUAAUACCUAGGCUAAACAGUUUUUGUCAGUCAUGUCACAAGUGUCUUUGUACAG
rnacentral:lncRNA from 1 species